CCACGAUAUGGGCAUCGACAGGUGGC
rnacentral:sRNA from 1 species